GAGAUUCUAGUAAAACCAUUACAUUACCUUGUCAGAGUAAAAUUGUGAGCUAAUACCUCACGAAUCUUA
rnacentral:tRNA from 1 species